rfam:Loxodonta africana unplaced genomic scaffold scaffold_69, whole genome shotgun sequence.
ACAUUGGUGGUUCAGCGGUAGAAUUCUUUCCUUCUGUGCAGGAGACCUGGGUUCAGUUCCCAGCCAGUGCU